rnacentral:rRNA from 1 species
AUACGGAGGAUCCGAGCGUUAUCCGGAUUUAUUGGGUUUAAAGGGUGCGUAGGCGGCCUUUUAAGUCAGCGGUGAAAGUCUGUGGCUCAACCAUAGAAUUGCCGUUGAAACUGGGGGGCUUGAGUAUGUUUGAGGCAGGCGGAAUGCGUGGUGUAGCGGUGAAAUGCUUAGAUAUCACGCAGAACCCCGAUUGCGAAGGCAGCCUGCCAAGCCAUGACUGACGCUGAUGCACGAAAGCGUGGGGAUCAAACAGGAUUAGAUACCCUGGUAGUCCACGCAGUAAACGAUGAUCACUAGCUGUUUGCGAUACACUGUAAGCGGCACAGCGAAAGCGUUAAGUGAUCCACCUGGGGAGUACGCCGGCAACGGUGAAACUCAAAGGAAUUGACGGGGGCCCGCACAAGCGGAGGAACAUGUGGUUUAAUUCGAUGAUACGCGAGGAACCUUACCCGGGUUUGAACGCAUUCGGACCGAGGUGGAAACACCUUUUCUAGCAAUAGCCGUUUGCGAGGUGCUGCAUGGUUGUCGUCAGCUCGUGCCGUGAGGUGUCGGCUUAAGUGCCAUAACGAGCGCAACCCUUGCCACUAGUUACUAACAGGUAAAGCUGAGGACUCUGGUGGGACUGCCAGCGUAAGCUGCGAGGAAGGCGGGGAUGACGUCAAAUCAGCACGGCCCUUACAUCCGGGGCGACACACGUGUUACAAUGGCGUGGACAAAGGGAAGCCACCUGGCGACAGGGAGCGAAUCCCCAAACCACGUCUCAGUUCGGAUCGGAGUCUGCAACCCGACUCCGUGAAGCUGGAUUCGCUAGUAAUCGCGCAUCAGCCAUGGCGCGGUGAAUACGUUCCCGGGCCUUGUACACACCGCCCGUCAAGCCAUGGGAGCCGGGGGUACCUGAAGUCCGUAACCGCGAGGAUCGGCCUAGGGUAAAACUGGUGACUGGGGCU